AGUAUUCGCGCUUCGCAUUGAAUAAAGUACGUAUUGGGAUACGAACGUCUGCGACGUGCUUUGCAUUCCGGAUGUAUAAAUACCGUACGGUGUGUUGAUCCUUGAAUACGCGAGCACGCGAAAGAGCGAGUACGUGAGCGAUGAACGCGAGUUGCGUCCUAACAUAACGCGAUUGGCCUCGACAUAUCCCCCUCUUUUCUCUCUCGCGAAAAUUUCAUCUGUCCUACGGAUCAAUUCCUCGCAGGUGUGUCGAUUGUCACUUAGGGCUGUAAGUUGAAAUGCUUCUUCAAUUACGUUCGCUGAUUUCGCCGGGGCUAACUCUCUUUCUGCGAUCAUACGUUACAGACGGCACGGUGAUUCGGUGAAAUACAGCCGAUCGCUAAUCUCAGCGUUAGCCGACGCGGAUUGUCGCUGGAAGCUCGCCAGGUUCUCGGGGCCGGGGGACGAUUCGCGCGUGUUCCACAGCGAAGGAUGGCGGCAAGCACCGCGUGUUCCGGUAGUCACUUGGAACGGACAAGGUCCACGUGGGAGGAAACUUGUCGGCCGGUAACGAGCCGAAGUGGAACGAGCGAUUUCGCGAGGUGACGUGACGAUCGUCAGGCAGUGCGGAUAAUAAACUUAUGAAGGAUCCCCUUGAUAUCGCCACUGGAAAUCGGGCAUUACGAGCCAUCUCUAUUAAACUAGCAUCCGCAACAUAAAAAAUGUAAGUACAAACGAAAAAAAAAUGUAAGUAAAGAAUGUAAGUAAAAAAUGUAAGUACAGCAGAAUUAAGCGCUAAUUAGGAAUUAAUUUAGCGCUGCGAUUUUAGCGUUCGAGUUGCUUAGCUGUCUAACUAAUUGCCAUCUUAGUAUACACACAGUAGUGCGUUCACCUGCAGCUCGUCACCCGGCUCGUUUCCCUCCUCUUUCUCCGACGGUGGAAAGCGGAGAACGUGUAACGGGAAGGGCCGAGACGGGCGCGAGGGAACGAAGGAGGAAGGGAGGGUUAAUUUCCUAUACUGGAUAUAUCCAGCGGCUCCGAGUUUUCCCCGUAAUCGCUUCCAAGUGUUUCCUGCGCCCCGUUCUGCCGUCCGUUCGUCCAUCGUCGCGAC